rnacentral:misc_RNA from 1 species
UCCGGCUUGACGCCGGCAGUCCCCCGAGAGUGCCCGGCAUUACCCGCUGGCAACUAAGGGCGAGGGUUGCGCUCGUUGCGGGACUUAACCCAACACCUCACGGCACGAGCUGACGACAGCCAUGCAGCACCUGUGCUGGCUUCCCCUUGCGGGGCUCGUCGCCCUUUCGGGUUUCUACUACCAGCAUGUCAAGCCCAGGUAAGGUUCUUCGCGUUGCGUCGAAUUGAACCACAUGCUCCACCGCUUGUGCGGGCCCCCGUCAAUUUCUUUGAGUUUUAACCUUGCGGCCGUACUCCCCAGGCGGAUAACUUAAUGCGUUAGCUGCGCCACCGAAAGCCUAAGGCCCCCGACAGCUAGUUAUCAUCGUUUACGGCGUGGACUAC